AUUGAGGGUCAGCUGUGAAAAUCCAAAGUGGUAAUUGAUAGUAAUUUGAAUCUUCACUUAAGUGACUGUUGAAAGGUCUUGGAGAGAACAAAGGGGAAGUGUUUAUCUCACAUAUUUUUUUUUUGGUCUGUUUUUCAUGGGGUAGGAGAAACAGGUUAUAUAUUUUCAGAAGAUGGUUGUAUAACCUGGUAGAAUUUUUUUUCUUUCUUUCUUUUCUUUUGUGCCCUUCUGUGAUGGAACCUGUCCAUCCGUUUUUCUGUCUUUGUGAUCAGCAAAAAAUAUGUGAAGCAAUCUCCUUGGCAGAUAAGAAUCUGGAUGUGUGAUUGUGUUUCCAGUCAGCUAGCUUAAUUUCUGCGUUAGUAUCAUGCAGGUCCUGAAGAAAGCUAAACCAAAACCAAAACCAUACAGGAGAAACUGCUGCAUGGAUGUGACAAAGAAUGAAUGAGUUGGGACAGCAGAAAUCCUGUUGCCUUUUUGAAGAUGUGAAGAAUGCAUAUACAGUUGAAAACUAUUGUCAAAUUUAUUUUCAGCAGAAAUAUGUACAGAUAACUUCCAAUGGUGUGACUUCUAGAAAAAAUCCACUGGCAAUCCAAAAGAACAUGGUGUGUGGUGUGUAUUCUUCAUAUCUGAAUGCGUUUCAAAACCAAAGACAGAGUUCACUUUUGCAUCCAGUACAUUCUUAGAUGUCAUUCUAAGAGUGAGUUACCUGUGACUCCUCUGACAUCUAGCUGGGAUGACUAUUAUGAUGUCUUCGUUGCCAAAACACCUUUAUCAGUGUUUGGUAGCAAUGUAUAUGUCCUUAGGAAAGUUCACAACUGUAGCAAAUAUUUUAAAAUAUUUAAUGUCAUGGAUACUAAUGUAAGUUCUUUAUUUUCUCUGUUUUGGUGAAGUUAGAGGUCCAACUUUAAAACAUAAACUCUAGUUUUUGUAAAACUUAUAUGUUUCUCAUCUAUAUUGUUUCCACAUUAAGGUUUACCUUUCUGCUUGUGAGGGAAGGCAGUUUCUGUAUUCCUACGCCGUAUAUAAGGUUUUUUAAACUGACAAUGUUUUGGUUACUGGGAAUAAUUAUUCCUUCAACUUCAAAAAAGUGUGUGAUGAGUGACUCUGCAGAAACUGCUGGAGGUGAAAGAUACUUGUAGAAAGUCAAUACAGCUGCUCUAAACUGUUGUUCUCUGUUGUGGAUGCUCAGCUGCCUUCCAUGGGAGUGAUAGCAUAUUUACAUGGGACACAGAAGCUGUUACCAUUUUGGUUUUGGAGUGGAUUAUUUCUUAGUUGCCAGCAAGUUUUGCCUUCCUUUGUGCAGGGAAACAGGAUGGCCCAAGUUCGUAGGCCAAAGAUCAGAAAAGAAGUCUCCUGCAAUUUUUGCCUCAAUUCCUGCUUAUUGGGAUGGACUGCUCUUGAGUUAGAAGGAGGUGAUCCUUUAAUAUCUUAUCCCAGAUAUCCCAGACCAUUCCAGUGUCUUAUUCCAUACCUGCCUCGCUUAUCUGUAGAUUUCCUUAAACAACUGCUCUUGGCAAAACAGUCAGGUACUGGAAUGGUUCAUCUGACCUAGUGUGACAAUUCUUGUGUUCUCAAAAUACAUACCAGAAGGUAUCCAAAUGGGGGGAAAAAAAAAAAA